AACAGAUAAGGAGCUUGCUCCUUUGACGUUAGCGGCGGACGGGUGAGUAACACGUGGAUAACCUACCUAUAAGACUGGGAUAACUUCGGGAAACCGGAGCUAAUACCGGAUAACAUAUUGAACCGCAUGGUUCAAUAGUGAAAGGCGGCUUUGCUGUCACUUAUAGAUGGAUCCGCGCCGUAUUAGCUAGUUGGUAAGGUAACGGCUUACCAAGGCAACGAUACGUAGCCGACCUGAGAGGGUGAUCGGCCACACUGGAACUGAGACACGGUCCAGACUCCUACGGGAGGCAGCAGUAGGGAAUCUUCCGCAAUGGGCGAAAGCCUGACGGAGCAACGCCGCGUGAGUGAUGAAGGUCUUCGGAUCGUAAAACUCUGUUAUCAGGGAAGAACAAAUGUGUAAGUAACUGUGCACAUCUUGACGGUACCUGAUCAGAAAGCCACGGCUAACUACGUGCCAGCAGCCGCGGUAAUACGUAGGUGGCAAGCGUUAUCCGGAAUUAUUGGGCGUAAAGCGCGCGUAGGCGGUUUUUUAAGUCUGAUGUGAAAGCCCACGGCUCAACCGUGGAGGGUCAUUGGAAACUGGAAAACUUGAGUGCAGAAGAGGAAAGUGGAAUUCCAUGUGUAGCGGUGAAAUGCGCAGAGAUAUGGAGGAACACCAGUGGCGAAGGCGACUUUUCUGGUCUGUAACUGACGCUGAUGUGC
rnacentral:rRNA from 1 species